GAUGAAGAACGCAGCGAAAUGCGAUACGUAAUGUGAAUUGCAGAAUUCAGUGAAUCAUCGAGUCUUUGAACGCACAUUGCGCCCCCUGGUAUUCCGGGGGGCAUGCCUGUUCGAGCGUCAUUUCAACCCUCAGGUCCCCCUUUUCGGAGGGGGAGACACCCUGGUGUUGGGGGACGGCAUCCUGGCCCGCUGUCUCACAGUGUGCCACGCCGCCCCCGAAAUGAAUUGGCGGCCUCGUCGCGUGCCACCCCUGCGUAGUAGCACAACCUCGCAACGGGAGCCCGACGCGGCCACUGCCGUAAAACGCCCAACUUUUACCGAGUUGACCUCGAAUCAGGUAGGAAUACCCGCUGAACUUAAGCAUAUCAAUAAGCGGAGGA
rnacentral:misc_RNA from 1 species